AUAUAUCCUCUCCAACCUCAUCUAUUCUCUCCCUUCUAUUUUCUCUAAAACACCCUCCCCCUUUUUUAAAGCCCAACCGGCCGCCGGAAAACGUCACCCACUGCCAAAAAACGUCUCCCUUUCGAUUUUCUUCUUCCUUUUAUUCUUUUUUCCCUUUUUACGUCAGCCGAAAACGCCAUAUAUAUAUAUACUACAUACACCACAGCCGUCACCCACUACACCCACAUCAGCCGCCGACCUCCACCAUCAACACCAUCGUUGCCGCUGUCGGUCACCACAUCCACCACCACCUUAAAUAGUUAUCAAUUAACAACAUCCAAACACCACCACGGUCCAACCACCGCCGCCGCUGCUUACCCCUCCACCGCUGCCGCCGCUACUUACCCCUCCAUCGCUGCCGCUGCUACUUACCCCUCCAUCGCUGCCGCCGCUACUUACCUCCCCCAGCCGCCGCCACUGUUUCCUUGACACCACCAAUGAGUUUUCGAAAGACUUCGCAAAAAUGGUCGCUAAAAGCCAUAGGAGACGAAGAUUCAGCGACGGUGUGUUGUCGUCGCAAAAAGCGUCGCUGAAACCUUUAGCGACGACAAUAGUGACAUUUGGCGACGAGUUUGGGCGUCGCUAAAACCAGAUUUUCUUCUUGUGAAAAUUGCCAUUCAAAUUAGUGCAAAUCUUGUUUGUUAAUGUAGAUUGCUUAAGGAUUGAAGCUUGAAGAGUCUUGGAAGAAGCAGCUUAUACAAGGAAUGAAGAAAAAAGAUCAUGAAUGGACUUGGAGUACAACUUUUAUGUGUUAUUAAGGACCUAAGCUGGAUAUUUAUGACUUUUUUUUUAGACAACAUUCAAAUAUAUUACUACUUUUAAAUUACACGUAUGUCUGAGAAGAAACGCAGGACUUUUGAAAAAUCCCUAUUAAUCCACCUCACAAAUGUGAGAAGGGAGACUCAAACCUAGCUGAAUCCCCCAAAUCAAAGACCUUACCAAUGGGCCACCAACCCCAUUGGCUUAUGACUUCUUUUUUAUUUAUGCUUUGUUUGUAUAUGUAAUAAUCUCAAGGGACCAAAUAUGUAACUCUUUUUAGGGCUAUGAGCCAACAUUGCCAUAGAAAGCAUGGACGAUUAAACGA